GUAUGUAAGGCCGAUCUGGCUGUGACAUCUGUCACCUAAUGGAUUGCCAGGUUUGAUUUGGAUGAUCUGUUUGGCUAGGCGGGUGUCCCCUUCCUCCCUCACCACUCCACAUGCUUCUCUCCCAAAGUUGCACACUCAAUGGAAGAGGAGGACUGUGGUUUGAUCAAAGAUAUACAAGAAGCUUGUUGCCCUGCUCGAAAGUCCAAAAAGCUCUGAAGGUCCAUUUGUAGGAAAAGGUAGGAUAGUCAAGUUUCUAAGACUCCGGAGACAAUCAAAUGAGGUGCUACAUGUGGCAGUCUGCCUUUAUUU
rnacentral:snRNA from 1 species